UAGCUAGUUGGUGAGGUAAAGGCUUACCAAGGCGACGAUCUGUAGCGGGUCUGAGAGGAUGAUCCGCCACACUGGAACUGAGACACGGUCCAGACUCCUACGGGAGGCAGCAGUGGGGAAUUUUGGACAAUGGGGGCAACCCUGAUCCAGCCAUGCCGCGUGAGUGAAGAAGGCCUUCGGGUUGUAAAGCUCUUUCGGCCGGGAAGAAAUCGCAUGGGCCAAUACCCUGUGUGGAUGACGGUACCGGAAUAAGAAGCACCGGCUAACUACGUGCCAGCAGCCGCGGUAAUACGUAGGGUGCGAGCGUUAAUCGGAAUUACUGGGCGUAAAGCGUGCGCAGGCGGUUUUGUAAGACAGGCGUGAAAUCCCCGGGCUUAACCUGGGAACUGCGUUUGUGACUGCAAGGCUAGAGUACGGCGGAGGGGGGUGGAAUUCCACGUGUAGCAGUGAAAUGCGUAGAGAUGUGGAGGAACACCAAUGGCGAAGGCAGCCCCCUGGGUCGAUACUGACGCUCAUGCACGAAAGCGUGGGUAGCAAACAGGAUUAGAUACCCUGGUAGUCCACGCCCUAAACUAUGUCGACUAGGUGUUGGGUGGGUAAAACCAUUUAGUACCGUAGCUAACGCGUGAAGUUGACCGCCUGGGGAGUACGGCCGCAAGGUUAAAACUCAAAGGAAUUGACGGGGACCCGCACAAGCGGUGGAUGAUGUGGAUUAAUUCGAUGCAACGCGAAAAACCUUACCUACCCUUGACAUGCCAGGAACUUGCCAGAGAUGGCUUGGUGCCCGAAAGGGAGCCUGGACACAGGUGCUGCAUGGCUGUCGUCAGUUCGUGUCGUGAGAUGUUGGGUUAAGUCCCGCAACGAGCGCAACCCUUGUCGUUAAUUGCCAUCAUUUGGUUGGGCACUUUAACGAGACUGCCGGUGACAAACCGGAGGAAGGUGGGGAUGACGUCAAGUCCUCAUGGCCCUUAUGGGUAGGGCUUCACACGUCAUACAAUGGUCGGUACAAAGGGUUGCCAAGCCGCGAGGCGGAGCCAAUCCCAGAAAGCCGAUCGUAGUCCGGAUUGCAGGCUGCAACUCGCCUGCAUGAAGUCGGAAUCGCUAGUAAUCGUGGAUCAGCAUGUCACGGUGAAUACGUUCCCGGGUCUUGUACACACCGCCCGUCACACCAUGGGAGCGGGUUCCGCCAGAAGUAGGUAGCCUAACCGCAAGGGGGGCGCUUACCACGGCGGGGUUCGUGACUGGGGUGAAGUCGUAACAAGGUAGCCGUAGGGGAACCUGCGGCUG
rnacentral:rRNA from 1 species